GGGCUUGACUGGAUUUGACGGCAAGUCGAGAUGGUACGUAAGCACGCGGAGCCUCGAUGGCUAGCUCCUUAAUCUGAGUGAUCAAAAAUUAAUUGGCGAAAACAAUUACGCUCUCGCUGCCUAAUCGAAGUACAGUAGAUUACUGGCUUAAUCCCGCUACCAGGUAGCAGGACGAGACAUCGCUCCAAGGAUGUUGUUCCGAAUCCGAGGGUUCAGCGGUGCAGGUAAAUCGGGAAUAGUCAUGGAAGGCCCCGCUUCCACGAUGAAAUCUUAGGGGAUAAGGCAGCAGUGGGUGGUCCAGGUCUUGCUGUAUGCACGAAAACCAAAGUCUGGAAUAAACGUGUAGAAAGCGUAUGGUUUCCUUGUUCGGACGUGGGUUCGAAUCCCACCAGGUCCACU
rnacentral:tmRNA from 1 species